AUGGGAUGGAACCAAAGAGGCUGCCUGAGGGAUACACGAGGCAGAAACCAAUCACUGCAAGAACCCUCCAAGGAGAGGGCAGUCUGGAUCCUGGGGACCUCCUCCGUUAACUGGACGAUUCUGCAUGCCCUACCCUGGAGACACCCCGCCCCCAUGGACUAUUAGGCACGUCCACCUCCUGAACCUUAGUGGCCCUGAGGCCACCCGGAACCCCUCCACCUGCAACACUUGGUAAGAUGAUCCGAGCACUAGGAGUUGACUUGUAAAACACACUCACCUUAUUUUGUGGCUGUUAGGUCUUGGGCCAAGGUGCAGAGG
rnacentral:lncRNA from 1 species